CGCCCCGCCCGCGUCCCGGAGGAGGAAAUGGUCCCGGAGACUCCGGAUUCCCAGCGUCCUGACAGGAUUCCUGGGAUCUUGACAGGAUACCUGGGCUCUAGGGGAGUCCUGGAAAGCGAAUGCCAGCAGAGGAGUGAGCAGCUUUCUGGAGAAAGAGAAAACUUUUGUGCACUAAGUUCACAACAGGAAUCUUCUCUGGAGGUGUGGCAAAUGAACCGAACCAAGAAGUCAGAAUGAUCUCUCCCAAACCCUCCCCUCCUUGCCCAGUGUGUUCUUUACCUCUCUCCAGUGUAAGACUCCAGUAUUUUAUGAGGCUUGAUAACUCAAACCAAAAUAAACAUGGAGAGGAAGAUAAGCAGCCAGUUAAAGAAGACCUGCAGGGAGGGAGAAGCAGGUGACCCAGGAGACUAG